UGGGGAAUCUUCCGCAAUGGGCGAAAGCCUGACGGAGCAACGCCGCGUGAGUGAAGAAGGCCUUCGGGUCGUAAAGCUCUGUCUUUAGGGACGAAUAGGUAUGGUAGUAAUAUGACCAUGCUGUGACGGUACCUAAGGAGGAAGCUCCGGCUAACUACGUGCCAGCAGCCGCGGUAAUACGUAGGUGGCAAGCGUUGUCCGGAAUUAUUGGGCGUAAAGCGCGCGCAGGUGGGCUAGUAAGUCUCAUGUAAAAGUGCGGGGCUCAACCCCAUAAAGCGUGAGAAACUGCUAAUCUUGAGUGCCGGAGAGGAAAGCGGAAUUCCCAGUGUAGCGGUGAAAUGCGUAGAUAUUGGGAGGAACACCAGUGGCGAAGGCGGCUUUCUGGACGGUGUCUGACACUGAGGCGCGAAAGCCAGGGGAGCGAACG
rnacentral:rRNA from 1 species